CACUAUUACUUCCCUUGAUCUAGAUGCUAUACUCCUAUUGAUGCAGCCCAGAAUUGCAUUGGCUUUUUUAGCUGCCGCGUCACACUGUUGGCUCAUGUCAAGUUUGUGGUCAACCAAGACUCCUAGAUCCUUUUCACAUAUACUGCUCUCAAGCCAGGUGUCCCCCAUCUUGUAUUUGUGCCUCUCAUUUUUUUUUGCCCAAGUGCAAUACUUUACAUUUCUCCCUGUUAAAAUUCAUCUUGUUUGUUUUGGCCCAGUUCUCUAAUCUGUCAAGGUCGUUUUGAAGUGCGAUCCUGUCCUCUGGGGUGUUAGCCACCCCUCCCAGUUUGGUGUCAUCUGCAAAUUUGAUCAGGAUGCCCUUGAGUCCAUCAUCCAAGUCGUUGAUAAAGAUGUUGAAUAAGACAGGGCCCAAGACAGAACCCUGUGGCACCCCACUAGUCACUCUUCUCCAGGAUGAAGAGGAACCAUUGAUGAGCACCCUUUGGGUUCGGUCAGUCAGCCAGUUACAAAUCCACUGAGUGGUA